rnacentral:rRNA from 1 species
GACGAGCGCUGGCGGCGUGCUUAACACAUGCAAGUCGAACGGUAAGGCCCUUCGGGGUACACGAGUGGCGAACGGGUGAGUAACACGUGGGUGAUCUGCCCUGCACUUCGGGAUAAGCCUGGGAAACUGGGUCUAAUACCGGAUAGGACCACUGCCUGCAUGGGUGGUGGUGGAAAGCUUUAGCGGUGUGGGAUGGGCCCGCGGCCUAUCAGCUUGUUGGUGGGGUGAUGGCCUACCAAGGCGACGACGGGUAGCCGGCCUGAGAGGGUGACCGGCCACACUGGGACUGAGAUACGGCCCAGACUCCUACGGGAGGCAGCAGUGGGGAAUAUUGCACAAUGGGCGCAAGCCUGAUGCAGCGACGCCGCGUGAGGGAUGACGGCCUUCGGGUUGUAAACCUCUUUCAGCACCGACGAAGCGCAAGUGACGGUAGGUGCAGAAGAAGGACCGGCCAACUACGUGCCAGCCGCCGCCGUAAAAC